CAGAGGGUGCAAGCGUUGUUCGGAAUUACUGGGCGUAAAGCGCGUGUAGGCGGCUUGGCAAGUCCUGUGUGAAAGCCCUGGGCUCAACCCAGGAAGUGCGCAGGAUACUGCCGAGCUGGAGUAGCGGAGAGGAUGGCGGAAUACCCGGUGUAGAGGUGAAAUUCGUAGAUAUCGGGUGGGACACCUGUGGCGAAGGCGGCCAUCUGGACGUUCACUGACACUGAGACGCGAAAGCGUGGGUAGCAAACAGGAUUAGAUACCCUGGUAGUCCACGCUGUAAACGAUGGAUGCUAGAUGUCACGGGUAUUGACCCCUGUGGUGUCGACGCUAACGCAUUAAGCAUCCCGCCUGGGGAGUACGGCCGCAAGGUUA
rnacentral:rRNA from 1 species